CAGAUUUAUGAAACUGAGCCGUCCUUUACAGCCAUUUAAUUGUAAUUGAAGUAUUGUUUUAAAUAGAAUAAUUUUUUUAACAUGGGAGGAAAAAUGAUCUUUCUACGUUUUAAAACUUGAAGCAGGAUACGUAAAUGGAUUUGUCUCUUGUCAGGAGAGGUGGAGCGGAAGUCCCUCUACAAGAUGGGAAAAGUUGUGCAUUCAGCAAUCCGUGACAAGCACAAGUUGAGCCAGACAACACUGCUGGAACGCUGCUUGCCUGAUGGACACCCAGAGAUGGGAUUAUUUGUGUUGGCAAAGCUUGCAUCUGUCACAACUGAGAGGAGACAACAAUCUCCCAUGGAUGGAGAUAGCCACUUGAGAAUGUUCAUAUCAAAGAACCCUGCAUAAGAUGAUACCAGGGAAGACUAGAAUUACAUAUUCUGAUGAUGUCCACACGUGCAACACUUGAUAAACCAAAAAUAGAAAGGAGACAGAGAAAGGGACCUCCUAGCAUGGAAAAGAAACCACCAAAAGGACAUCCAAGAUUUUUAUUUUUCAACCAUUUGGCAUAUACUGAGUUAUGAUCUUUAACAGAUGUGCACCCUAUUAUAGUAACACUCCACUCUUCUACGGCCGGAUUUAAGGAAGCCUUGUGCUCCACGACAGAAUCAAAAUUGAUGGCAUCGUCUCGGACUUCCCACAUAGACAAGAUAAACUAAAGGCUUCUAUGGACAGGUUGGUGCUUCUUUGUCUCGGAGCAGCACUGUAUUUUAUGCUAACAUUUCCAGUUUUCAUGAGAUAUGAAUCACAAAUACACAUAUACACGAUUGAUUCUUAAGUUAAUUUCUUUUAGAGUUAGUUAUUUACACUUAAUAAAGAUGAUGAAUAGGUUCUAGAACCAUAAUUUAAAAUGGGUAUGAAAACCAGAACUACAUAAUUACUGGCUUAAAGUAUAAUGAGGACACACAGAUCCCAUUCUAACAAGAAUAUUUGAAUUGUUACCCAAUAUGUUCAGAGGAGUAGGGACUCUACCUAGCGUGGGAAAAUCACAGUUGCUUUCUCUGGGCUGCAGAUAUCUGAAAUUCAUCAUACUCUCCCGUCCUACUGACUACUCCCACUGUGCCAUUUCUGGCUAAGCCUCUGGUCCUUUUAAUCUAUGGCCAAAAAGGGACAAAUGCUGCAGGUCGCAGCAAAUUUUAUCCUCUAAAAAACUGAAAGAGCUGUUUACAUUGUAAGAAAAGAGAUUAUUUCAUAAUCUUUAGAAGACCCUGAG